AACGAACGCUGGCGGCAUGCCUAACACAUGCAAGUCGAACGAGACCUCCGGGUCUAGUGGCGCACGGGUGCGUAACGCGUGGGAACCUGCCCUUAGGUCCGGAAUAACUCCCCGAAAGGGGUGCUAAUACCGGAUAAUGUCUUCGGACCAAAGAUUUAUCGCCUUUGGAUGGGCCCGCGUUGGAUUAGCUAGUUGGUAGGGUAAAAGCCUACCAAGGCGACGAUCCAUAGCUGGUCUGAGAGGAUGAUCAGCCACACUGGGACUGAGACACGGCCCAGACUCCUACGGGAGGCAGCAGUGGGGAAUAUUGGACAAUGGGCGAAAGCCUGAUCCAGCAAUGCCGCGUGAGUGAUGAAGGCCUUAGGGUUGUAAAGCUCUUUUACCCGGGAUGAUAAUGACAGUACCGGGAGAAUAAGCUCCGGCUAACUCCGUG
rnacentral:rRNA from 1 species